rnacentral:ncRNA from 2 species
CGAGAUCGCUAAGAUGACGGGGCCAAGACGGCGCCAGGGGAGGAAGCCCGGUGGAAUUCCGGCACGGUCCCGCCACUGUGACGCACGGCGAGUACGCCGCGCGGAGUCAGGAACUCCCGCCGUCCUCCGAACCGC